CUUCGGGAAGCAUGAGACAGGCGCUGCAUGUCUGUCGUCAGCUCGUGUCGUGAGAUGUUGGGUUAAGUCCCGUAACGAGCGCAACCCUGGUCCUUAGUUACCAGCACGUUAUGGUGGGCACUCUAAGGAGACUGCCGGUGACAAACCGGAGGAAGGUGGGGAUGACGUCAAGUCAUCAUGGCCCUUACGGCCUGGGCUACACACGUGCUACAAUGGUCGGUACAGAGGGUUGCCAAGCCGCGAGGUGGAGCUAAUCCCAUAAAACCGAUCGUAGUCCGGAUCGCAGUCUGCAACUCGACUGCGUGAAGUCGGAAUCGCUAGUAAUCGCGAAUCAGAAUGUCGCGGUGAAUACGUUCCCGGG
rnacentral:rRNA from 1 species